CCUACGGGUGACAGCAGUCGAGAAUCAUUCACAAUGGGGGAAACCCUGAUGCUGCGACGCCGCGUGGGGGAAUGAAGGUCUUCGGAUUGUAAACACCUGUCAUGUGGGAGCAAAUUAAAAAGAUAGUACCACAAGAGGAAGAGACGACUAACUCGGUGCCAGCAGCCGCGGUAAUACAGAGGUCUCAAGCGUUGUUCGGAAUCACUGGGCGUAAGGCGUGCGUAGGCUGUUUCGUAAGUCGUGUGUGAAAGGCGCGGGCUCAACCCGCGGACGGCACAUGAUACUGCGAGACUAGAGUAAUGGAGGGGGAACCGGAAUUCUCGGUGUAGCAGUGAAAUGCGUAGAUAUCGAGAGGAACACUCGUGGCGAAGGCGGGUUCCUGGACAUUAACUGACGCUGAGGCACGAAGGCCAGGGGAGCGAAAGGGAUUAGAUACCCUGGUAGUC
rnacentral:rRNA from 1 species